rnacentral:rRNA from 1 species
GUGGGGAAUAUUGCACAAUGGAGGAAACUCUGAUGCAGCGACGCCGCGUGAGUGAAGAAGUAAUUCGUUAUGUAAAGCUCUAUCAGCAGGGAAGAUAGUGACGGUACCUGACUAAGAAGCCCCGGCUAACUACGUGCCAGCAGCCGCGGUAAUACGUAGGGGGCAAGCGUUAUCCGGAUUUACUGGGUGUAAAGGGAGCGUAGACGGACUGGCAAGUCUGAUGUGAAAGGCGGGGGCUCAACCCCUGGACUGCAUUGGAAACUGUUAGUCUUGAGUGCCGGAGAGGUAAGCGGAAUUCCUAGUGUAGCGGUGAAAUGCGUAGAUAUUAGGAGGAACACCAGUGGCGAAGGCGGCUUACUGGACGGUAACUGACGUUGAGGCUCGAAAGCGUGGGGAGCAAACAGGAUUAGAUACCCUGGUAGUCC